rnacentral:rRNA from 1 species
UGGGGAAUUUUGCACAAUGGGGGAAACCCUGAUGCAGCGACGCCGCGUGAUUUAGAAGGCCUUCGGGUUGUAAAAAUCUUUUUUACGGGAUGAAAAUGACAGUACCGUAAGAAUAAGGUCCGGCUAAAUACGUGCCAGCAGCCGCGGUAAUACGUAUGGACCGAGCGUUGUCCGGAAUCAUUGGGCGUAAAGGGUACGUAGGCGGCCUAAUAAGUUAGAAGUGAAAGAAUAUAGCUCAACUAUAUAAAGCUUUUAAAACUGUUAGGCUUGAGAGAUGAAAGGGAAAGUGGAAUUCCUAGUGUAGCGGUGAAAUGCGCAGAUAUUAGGAAGAAUACCGGUGGCGAAGGCGACUUUCUGGUCAUCAUCUGACGAUGAGGUACGAAAGCGUGGGUAGCAAACAGG